rnacentral:rRNA from 1 species
ACGAUGAACCUGGAGCUUGCUCUAGGGAUUAGUGGCGAACGGGUGAGUAACACGUGAGUAACCUGCCCUUGACUCUGGGAUAACCUCCGGAAACGGAAGCUAAUACCGGAUACGACGUACGGAGGCAUCUCCUGUACGUGGAAAGAACUUCGGUCAAGGAUGGACUCGCGGCCUAUCAGGUAGUUGGUGAGGUAACGGCCCACCAAGCCUACGACGGGUAGCCGGCCUGAGAGGGUGACCGGCCACACUGGGACUGAGACACGGCCCAGACUCCUACGGGAGGCAGCAGUGGGGAAUAUUGCACAAUGGGCGCAAGCCUGAUGCAGCAACGCCGCGUGAGGGAUGACGGCCUUCGGGUUGUAAACCUCUUUUAGUUAGGGAAGAAGCGAAAGUGACGGUACCUGCAGAAAAAGCACCGGCUAACUACGUGCCAGCAGCCGCGGUAAUACGUAGGGUGCGAGCGUUGUCCGGAAUUAUUGGGCGUAAAGAGCUCGUAGGCGGUCUGUCGCGUCUGCUGUGAAAACCCGAGGCUCAACCUCGGGCCUGCAGUGGGUACGGGCAGACUAGAGUGCGGUAGGGGAGAAUGGAAUUCCUGGUGUAGCGGUGGAAUGCGCAGAUAUCAGGAGGAACACCGAUGGCGAAGGCAGUUCUCUGGGCCGUAACUGACGCU